rfam:Ixodes scapularis strain Wikel colony gcontig_1107728551032, whole genome shotgun sequence.
UCUUUGUUCGUUCAGUUCGUAGAGCGCUUCACUAGAGAUGGAGAGGUUCCUGGUUAGAAACCAGGACGAGGCG